UAAACACUAGUAAGCAAAGCAAGGAAAGCCUCAAACAAACCUAGACAAAGAAGGAUGCCCAGGAAAUGACAGUAAGGCAGCCACAACUUCAAAGCUCGUUUUUAGCCCAUGGCCUUUCCCAUUGACCACCACUAAUUCAGCCACCACCUCCUCUUCAGAGGGCAGGCUGAGCAGCCUCUUGAUUGCCUGGUUUGAUGCAACAUGCCAGUGAGUGCCACUGCCUGAAAGAAGGACAUUAGCAGUGUUGGCUGAGGUCAGACACUGCUGUUCCCAGAGAAGAAUGUGCCUAAAACAAAAAAGCUGGUCACUUGGGAAGAACUGCCUUUUGUAGUAGCUGACAGGUACAUGGUUUCUGUUAUCCAUACAUGCAAAUCAGGGGCUGGAGCUGCUUUUACCAUAGUUGCUGGUGUGGGUUUAUUCACUAUCACUUAUACAAUGUCCUCUACUGCUUCUCUUUUCUUUAAGUCAUGGAGCCCAUCUGUGUCCCAAGGCUCAAGCUCCAUCAUCUUUUGCCCCAUGAAGAAGGACAGCUGUAUCAUUCUGACUUUGUGAAUCCUAUAUUACAAAUGAGCAGCAUAAAGAGUAUAAAACUCA